rnacentral:miRNA from 1 species
AGUGACUAAUAAAGAGCUUGC